rnacentral:rRNA from 1 species
GUCCACGCCGUAAACGAUGGGCAUUAGGUGUGGGAGGUGUCGACUCCUCCCGUGCCGGCGCUAACGCAUUAAAUGCCCCGCCUGGGGAGUACGGCCGCAAGGCUAAACUCAAAGGAAUUGACGGGGCCCGCACAAGCAGCGGAGCAUGUGGUUUAAUUCGAUGCAACGCGAAGAACCUUACCUGGGCUUGACAUGUUUGUGACAGCCGUGGAAACACGGUCUUCCUUCGGGACACUUACACAGGUGGUGCAUGGCUGUCGU